GAUGAACGCUAGCUACAGGCUUAACACAUGCAAGUCGUGGGGCAGCAUGAAGGAAGCUUGCUUCCUUUGAUGGCGACCGGCGCACGGGUGAGUAACGCGUAUCCAACCUUCCCCUUACUAGAGGAUAGCCCGGCGAAAGUCGGAUUAAUACUCUAUGUUCUCCUUAGCAGGCAUCUAACGAGGAGCAAAGAUUCGUCGGUAAGGGAUGGGGAUGCGUCUGAUUAGCUUGCCGGCGGGGUAACGGCCCACCGGGGCAACGAUCAGUAGGGGUUCUGAGAGGAUGACCGGUCACAUUGGGACUGAGACACGGCCCAGACUCC
rnacentral:rRNA from 1 species